GUCUACGGCCAUGCCACUCUGAACAAGCUUGAUAUCUGAUCUCAGAAGCUAAGCAGGAUUGGGCCUGGGUAGUACUUAGAUGGGAGACCACCUAGGAAGACCAGGUGCUGUAGGCA
rfam:Pteropus alecto contig167408, whole genome shotgun sequence.